AUUGAACGCUGGCGGCAGGCCUAACACAUGCAAGUCGAGCGAGCGGCGGGCGGGUGAAUAAUGCGUGGUAAUCGCCCAGGCGAGGGGGCUACCAGAUGGAAACGACUGCUAAUACCGCAUACGACUGGAUCGCCCAGGUGGGAUUAGCUAGUUGGUGAGGUAAUCGCUCACAAAGGCGACGAUCCCUGGCUGGUCUGAGAGGGUGAUCAGGCACACUGGAACGGAGACACGGUCCAGACUCCGACGGGAGGCAGCAGUGGGGAAUAUUGCACAAUGGGCGAAAGCCUGAUGCAGCCAUGCCGCGUGUGUGAAGAAGGCCUUCGGGUUGUAAAGUACUUUCAGCGAGGAGGCGUUACUCGCAGAAGAAGCACCGGCUAACUCCGUGCCAGCAGCCGCGGUAAUUC
rnacentral:rRNA from 1 species